rnacentral:tRNA from 1 species
GGGCGAGUAGCUCAGUCGGUGAGAGCGCCACGUUGACAGCGUGGAGGGCAGGGGUUCGAUUCCCUUCUCGCCCACCA